GCAGUAGUGGCUCAGUGGGUAGAGUGAUGGCUUACUGAUCACAAGGUUGUGGGUUCAAUUCCCACAAUUGCU
rnacentral:tRNA from 1 species